rnacentral:rRNA from 1 species
GACGAACGCUGGCGGCGUGCUUAACACAUGCAAGUCGAACGGUGAAGCGCCUUCCUUUUUGGUGGGUGUGGAUGAGUGGCGAACGGGUGAGUAACACGUGAGUAACCUGCCCCCUUCUUCUGGAUAACCGCAUGAAAGUGUGGCUAAUACGGGAUAUUCUGGGUCUGUCGCAUGAUGGGUCUGGGAAAGAUAUUGUUUCGGUGGGGGAUGGGCUCGCGGCCUAUCAGCUUGUUGGUGGGGUGAUGGCCUACCAAGGCGGUGACGGGUAGCCGGCCUGAGAGGGUGGGCGGUCACACAGGGGCUGAGACGCGGCCAAGACUACUACGGGAGGCAGCAGUGAGGAAUAUUGCACAGUGGGCGGAAGCCUGAUGCAGCGACGCCGCGUGAAGGAUGGAGGCCUGCGGGUUGUGAACCUCUUUCGCCAGUGAAGCAGGCCUGCCUCGUUUGUGGGUGGGUUGACGGUAGCUGGAUAAGAAGCGCCGGCUAACUACGUG